CAGAGGAUAUAUUCUGCCAACACAGUUUCCAGGCACAACAGUACUGAGCCAUCUGAAUCCUUUGGUCUCAUAACUGCUCUGGAUGCACAGGGAGAAACAUCUGGCUUCUUUCCCUGGGAUGAUGGUAACUCUGCUGGUAAGCAGACCAACAUGUACAACAGUUGGAAUGUUCUGGAUUCCAAUGAAUUUACUUAAAGAUUGGAGAUCUGGACCAACAAAAAAGUUCAAAAGCAACUGUGAUUAAAAAUGGCUACCAUGAAAUUGCUACUUUGGCAUAUGGUGCUAUUCAGAUCCUUGGUUUCACUUCAAAGUCAGAUGUUUUUUUU